rnacentral:rRNA from 1 species
UACGUAGGGGGCGAGCGUUGUCCGGAUUUAUUGGGCGUAAAGAGCGUGUAGGCGGUUCGGUAAGUCUGUCGUGAAAUCCUGAGGCUCAACCUCGGGCGUGCGAUGGAUACUGCCGGGCUAGAGGGUGGUAGAGGCGAGUGGAAUUCCCGGUGUAGCGGUGAAAUGCGCAGAUAUCGGGAGGAACACCAAUGGCGAAAGCAGCUCUCUGGGACGGUACUGACGCUGAGACGCGAAAGCGUGGGGAGCGAACAGG